CGGAACCUGGACCCAGACCUGGGUUUUUGUAAAUACCCCGGCUUGGAGUGAAGUCCUUGUUCAAAGUCCCCCACUGGUUAGUGGGAUUCAAACCCCAGCUGAGGUCCAGAGAUCGUGCACUUGGUUCUGCGUGGGGGUGCGUGGCAGCCCAGGAAGUGGGUUCAGAGGCUGUGGGGCUUACCGGGCACCUUGAUCUUUCCGGACCCAACUGUGGCCCCCAGGGAAUCCGAGAUGCAUCCUGGCUGCCAUGGCCCUGGUCCAGGAAUCACAGUGGGCUGGGGGGAUGGGACCGGCCUGGCUGGGCACAGGGGCCAGAGAAAGGAAGGGAAGAGAUGGCACCCAGGGGCCGCCAGCUGAGGGCACAAAGAUACAGUAGAAAACCCAGAUAAAGCCAAAAGAAAGCAACCACCUGGAAUUUCGCACCCAGAACAAACCUUUCUUCACAUGUGCACGGAUUUCUUUCUAGACUUUUCUUCAUCCAUCCAGGCAUUUUCAUACAAAAAGUGAAUCAUACCCCACAGAGAGUCUGCAACCUGCCGAGCUGUUUCCCACUCACCGCUAGAUCGUGGCUCUCUUUCGUGCCAAUGAAUAUACUUUUACAACAUCAUUCCUGCAGCUGUGCACGCACUUUGGGUGUGGCCAGAAAGUGAUUGAGGUCGACUGAGCCCCUGUAGGUUGGAUUUCUUUGGAGCAAAGGCAGAACUCUUAGUGGCUGGAAAGUCUCCGUGUGGAGCCUGAAAAAGCUGAGUCUGUGGGAAGCCAUGAAGAGAGAUGGAGGGACAGUGGGUCCUGAACCACAUUGUUUGAGCUGCUGGAUGAGGCCUUACCUGAACACUGCUAGUUU
rnacentral:lncRNA from 1 species